rnacentral:rRNA from 1 species
UUGCUCCUUUGACGUUAGCGGCGGACGGGUGAGUAACACGUGGGUAACCUACCUAUAAGACUGGGAUAACUUCGGGAAACCGGAGCUAAUACCGGAUAAUAUUUCGAACCGCAUGGUUCGAUAGUGAAAGAUGGUUUUGCUAUCACUUAUAGAUGGACCCGCGCCGUAUUAGCUAGUUGGUAAGGUAACGGCUUACCAAGGCGACGAUACGUAGCCGACCUGAGAGGGUGAUCGGCCACACUGGAACUGAGACACGGUCCAGACUCCUACGGGAGGCAGCAGUAGGGAAUCUUCCGCAAUGGGCGAAAGCCUGACGGAGCAACGCCGCGUGAGUGAUGAAGGUCUUCGGAUCGUAAAACUCUGUUAUUAGGGAAGAACAUACGUGUAAGUAACUAUGCACGUCUUGACGGUACCUAAUCAGAAAGCCACGGCUAACUACGUGCCAGCAGCCGCGGUAAUACGUAGGUGGCAAGCGUUAUCCGGAAUUAUUGGGCGUAAAGCGCGCGUAGGCGGUUUUUUAAGUCUGAUGUGAAAGCCCACGGCUCAACCGUGGAGGGUCAUUGGAAACUGUAAAACUUGAGUGCAGAAGAGGAAAGUGGAAUUCCAUGUGUAGCGGUGAAAUGCGCAGAGAUAUGGAGGAACACCAGUGGCGAAGGCGACUUUCUGGUCUGUAACUGACGCUGAUGUGCGAAAGCGUGGGGGAUCAAACAGGAUUAGAUACCCUGGUA